GAUUGGCAAUCCGUUGGAUACCGACCGAGUUAUAGCUAAAACUUGGCGCAAAAAUGAGGAAAAUUUAACAUUUUCUCAAACAGGGUAAGGAACUUGGUUCCUCGAAUAACUUCUGGCACAGACAUCUGAGGGCAUGGUCGUCCAAGAAGAUAAUGUAGCCAUUGGUGCCAUCUAUCGACCACAGGUUAAAGAUUGGCGAUCCGUUGGAUACCGACCGAGUUAUAGCUAAAAAUUGGCGCAAAAAUGAGCUUUAUGAAAUUUUCUAAUUUUUCUAAUUUUUUAAUUUUUUUAUAAUUUUUUAUUCUGUUUUUUAUUUAAAGCAUUAUUUGAGUGAAAAGAAACUUAUUGCAACCAAUUGGCAUUAAAAAAAAAUCAAUUUUAUUUUUUUUGCAAAAUUUCUCAAAAAAAACGUAAGGGGUACCCCUUAUGAAAUUUUCGAGUGGAAAAUUUUUUUGAAUUUUUUUUCUGAUUUUUUAUUCUUUUUUUAGUUUAAUGCAUUAUUUGAGUGAAAAGAAACUUAUUGCAACAAAUUCGCAUUAAAAUAUAUCACAUUUAAAAAUUUUGCUGAAUUGCAGAAAAAUGAGAAAAAUUUAACAUUUUCUCAAACAGGGUAAGGAACUUGGUUCCUCGAAUAACUUCUGGCACAGACAUCUGAGGGCAUGGUCGUCCAAGAAGAUAAUGUAGCCAUUGGUGCCAUCUAUCGACCACAAGUUAAGGAUUGGCGAUCCGUUGGAUACCGACCGAGUUAUAGCUAAAACUUGGCGCAAAAAUGAGCUUUAUAAAAUUUUCUAAUUUUUCUAAUUUUUUAAUUUUUUUAUAAUUUUUUAUUCUGUUUUUUAUUUAAAGCAUUAUUUGAGUGAAAAGAAACUUAUUGCAACCAAUUGGCAUUAACAAAAAUCAAUUUUAUUUUUUCUUGCAAAAUUUCUCAAAAAAAACGUAAGGGGUAUCCCUUAUGAAAUUUUCGAGUGGAAAAUUUUUUUGAAUUUUUUUUCUGAUUUUUUAUCCUUUUUUUAGUUUAAUGCAUUAUUUGAGUGAAAAGAAACUUAUUGCAACAAAUUCGCAUUAAAAUAUAUCACAUUUAAAAAUUUUGCUGAAUUGCAGAAAAAUGAGGAAAAUUUAACAUUUUCUCAAACAGGGUAAGGAACUUGGUUCCUCGAAUAACUUCUGGCACAGACAUCUGAGGGCAUGGUCGUCCAAGAAGAUAAUGUAGCCAUCAGUGCCAUCUAUCGACCACAAGUUAAAGAUUGGCGAUCCGUUGGAUACCGACCGAGUUAUAGCUAAAAAUUGGCGCAAAAAUGAGCUUUAUGAAAUUUUCUAAUUGUUCUAAUUUUUUAAUUUUUUUAUAAUUUUUUAUUCUGUUUUUUAUUUAAAGCAUUAUUUGAGUGAAAAGAAACUUAUUGCAACCAAUUGGCAUUAAAAAAAAUCAAUUUUAUUUUUUUUGCAAAAUUUCUCAAAAAAAACGUAAGGGGUACCCCU